AUCUAAGGGAAGGCGAGAUUCGAUUUUCUGCCACCGAAUACAUUAGCAUGGGAUAAUGGAAUAGGACCCUGUCCUCCUAUUUUCAGUUGGUUUUGGCAGCGCGAGGACUAGGGUAAUGAUUAAUAGGGAUAGUUGGGGGCAUUAAUAUUUAAUUGUCAGAGGUGAAAUUCUUGGAUUUAUGAAAGAUUAACUUCUGCGAAAGCAUCUGCCAAGGAUGUUUUCAUUAAUCAAGAACGAAAGUUAGGGGAUCGAAGACGAUCAGAUACCGUCGUAGUCUUAACCAUAAACGAUGCCGACCAGCGAUUAGGAGACGUUGAAUACAAAACACCACCAUCGGCGCGGUCGUCCUUGGCGYUCGUGUUCACGCACGAGCGCGAGGGCGGCUUAGCCCGAUGGCACCGGUGAAUGACUCCCUAGCAGCUUGUGAGGAAGAA
rnacentral:rRNA from 1 species